CCGCCUCCCUAGGAUCAGAUGACAAGGAGAGAUAGAGCUGUGUGUCAUCCGCACAUUGGUGACAACUCAGUCCAAAUCCCCGGAUUACCCCGGUUGACUCCCAUGCAUCAGUCCAGCAAUCUCUUGGAAGUGCCACAACUCUGAUGUGUUUACUGUGUUGCUACCUGCAUGAAGAUGUCUGGGAAAGUUUGCUCAGAGAGGAGAUGUACUCUGUUGCCUGUAAUGGAAGCUCUAUUGCCGGAACAAAAUAUUCUAUAGACUGCAGUGGGAAAGCCCUGCCUGCCUUUUGUUUAACAAAAAGUUGCAAGGAAAGCCUUGGAUGCCUUGCACAGCUUUGCAGUGAUUGAAGGGAAGAAGGAAUCAGUCUGCCUGGUGGGACUUGGAGACUCAACAUGCAAAAUCUGCCUUGACACCCGAGGUAGGCCACAAGACUCUCAUAGUUGAGAGCAGAUGUCCUGACCUAUCAUUUGAGCCAUUACACAACAUCACUAGCAACAGAAGAUGGGUGCAACUGGAAGGAUCAAGCGUGAAGGAUCAAGUGGUGGGAACAAUCUCUCAGCCCAACUGAGCACAUCUUGGGCAACAUUCAAGAUUAGCAAUUGAAGCAAAGACAGAAAGACAAGCAUCAAAAAGAAAAGAAAAGAAAAGAAAAGAACCCCUAUAUAUGUAUUCCAGGGCAUAUUUUAAGUGUGCUGCAGUUGAUAAUACUUGGUUCUAUUAUUAUUGAUUAGGAGGAGAGGGCAUUUCAGUGGGGUCAAGACUGACUCAACAAGCUUUUCAGAAUAUCCUAAGCACUGAAGCAGAUGCCUAUUUAUAAAGGCAAGAAGCAUUAACAAUAAAUGUUGUGGCAAACAUGUACAAGUAUGUUCAGUAAAGGAUCUGGCUGCCUGACAGAAUGACAGGAGGGUGACAAACAGAUUAUGCAACUAUGAAAGGGAAAUGAGCUGUUUGUUUCUUUACUUGAUAUUUGGUUACAGAAAUUACUUUUAGAACCAGACAGUCAUAUUGUCUGAAUAACUUGGGUUGCUGAGGAAAACAUACAUAUAUUAGAAUGAAAGAAAACUGGAUUGGCACAUCAGUAGGAUUUGCUAAAACUUUUUUGACUCACAGGGCAUCUGGACUGGAGGCAGAGCCAAUGAUGGCAGCAGGGUAGACAGUCCAUAGCUAGGGAAACAUAGGGAGGCUCCUCCCACUUCUGUUAUAAGAUUAUUUUUCAAAGCGUAUGUACUUCUUAAAACCCAACUGUAGGGUGUGGGGAUGUGGAGAAAACUGCAGCAGUGGAGAAGCCCUCUGAGAAUCUAUACUUCUUUUUCUCAUUGAGAGAAAUCUUGAACUUAUCUUCAGAUUCUAGAUAAAGAGGAUUUUCUCCAAAACACCUCAACUAUUUUUGUGCUUAUGUUUGCAUAAUGUGAAAAUGAAGCUCUGUGGGCUUCAUUUAACAUUCUCUUAAAAUGUUUCUCUGUGUUCAUUGGAAAUUUCCCACUGGUCCUUGAUUCCUAUUGGCCUCAUGACAUUUUUUAGCACAAGGCUGUGAUGUAACUAUAGAAUUGCCUUAUUAGCUGAGAUAAGAUGCCAUGACAUUAUUUAUAAAGGUCACUGCUAACUAUGAAGAGAUAAUAACACAGAUAACAAUAAGUUGAGAACAUGCCUGGAAAGGAAGGAUAACAAAAAAUACCCACAAUGCAUAUCUCUCAAGAGCAUGCACUUUAAGAGAGCAUUUUCAAAAGAACGCGUUUUUAUCAGCAAUGUUGAUAAUCUGAAACAUUACAAAAAUUAUAGGAAGCAAACAGAGUACAGGCCAUUUAACUGAGAAAACCCUUUUAAAAAUAUGAAAACUGGAUAUCUGAAACAGAGUCAUGGGGAUGGGGCCAUAGGUUACUAGAAGAGCACAAUGCCUUGUAUGCAAAAGGUCUGAGCUGCAAUCCCUGUCAUCUCAAGACAGGGCUGAGAAUGACCCCUGUCUGAAAGGAGAGAGCUUCUGAAGAGCCACUGCCAGUUAGUGUAGAUAAUACUAAGCAAGAUGAAAAAAGGGUCUGAUUCAAUAAGAGACAUGAUCCUAUUGGCAUUCACUUAGAAUUCAAUCCAUUCAGAAGAUGGGUUUUAUGAAAAUUGAGCAUCAUGAAAAUCUGAUAUCACACACUAACAUUCAGCAAUCUGUUGCUACCCGGUUAAGGGGAAAUUGCUUCCUAGAACUUUCUAGAAAGACAAAUUUGCUUAAGGUUUAGAAGUCCUUACUUAGCGUUCAGAUUGCUUAUGGAUACUUGUUAUGGAAAUAUUUGGGUCAAAGUUGUGUCAUGAUUGUAUCAAAACUAUUUUGCUUAUGAUUUAGCAUUUCAGCAAAGAACAAGAAGAUCAUGACAACAUUCUUUGGAAUAGUCCAGUGCACAUGUCCUUUCUAGUAAUUGACUGGAGAAUAAAAUUCCAUUAUAUCACUGUCCAAAAUUGCAAAGAAACACAAGAAGAAGAAGAAGAAGAAGGAGGAGGAGGAGGAGGAGGAGGAGGAGGAGGCCAUUUUGGUCAUGAAGUAGAGAAUAAACUAAUUUUUGGCUGCCAAAUUGAUUUUAAACAGUUUGGCACAUUUUCAGCUCCAUUCAACUUGGGCUGUGGUUGUUGUUUCGUUUGUUUUUUGUUUGUUUGCAUAUAUGUGCAUUUUAAUAACUUAUUCUUCCCUUAAAUUGCCAUUUUUAAUGCUGA